rnacentral:rRNA from 1 species
ACAUUCCGGUUGAUCCUGCCGGAGGACAUUGCUAUUGGGAUUCGAUUUAGCCAUGCUAGUCGGACGAGUUUAGACUCGUGGCAGAUAGCUCAGUAACACGUGGCCAAGCUACCCUUCAGUCGGCAAUACCCUCGGGAAACUGAGGUUAACGGCCGAUGUGGGACGCCUGCUGGAAUGCGGCGUUCUCUAAAGGCGACGCUGAAGGAUGCGGCUGCGGCCGAUUAGGUUGACGGUGGGGUAACGGCCCACCGUGCCAGUAAUCGGUACGGGUGAUGAGAGUCAGAGCCCGGAGACGGAAUCUGAGACAAGAUUCCGGGCCCUACGGGGCGCAGCAGGCGCGAAACCUUUACACUGCACGGAAGUGCGAUAGGGGAAUCCCAAGUGCGAGGGCAUAUUCGCCCUCGCUUUUGUUGACCGUAAGGUGGUCAACGAAUAAGAGCUGGGCAAGACCGGUGCCAGCCGCCGCGGUAAUACCGGCAGCUCGAGUGAUGUCCAAUAUUAUUGGGCCUAAAGCGUCCGUAGCUGGCCGCGCAAGUCCGUCGGGAAAUCCACCUGCCCAACAGGUGGGCGUCCGGCGGAAACUGUGUGGCUUGGAACCGGAAGGCUCAGAGGGUACGUCCGGGGUAGGAGUGAAAUCCCGUAAUCCCGGACGGACCACCGAUGGCGAAAGCACUCUGAGAAGACGGCUUCGACAGUGAGGGACGAAAGCUAGGGUCUCAAACCGGAUUAGAUACCCGGGUAGUCCUAGCUGUAAACGAUGCUCGUUAGGUGUGGCACCCACUACGAGUGGGUGCUGUGCCGCAGGGAAGCCGCUAAACGAGCCGCCUGGGAAGUACGUCCGCAAGGAUGAAACUUAAAGGAAUUGGCGGGGGAGCACUACAACCGGAGGAGCCUGCGGUUUAAUUGGACUCAACGCCGGAAAUCUCACCAGCCCCGACAUCAGUAAUGACGGUCAUGUUGACGACAUCUGCCCGAGCUGAUGAGAGGAGGUGCAUGGCCGCCGUCAGCUCGUACCGUGAGGCAUCCUGUUAAGUCAGGCAACGAGCGAGAUCCACAUCCCUAAUUGCCAGCACCAUCGCCAGAUGGGUGGGUACAUUAGGGAGACUGCCGCUGCUAAAGCGGAGGAAGGAAUGGGCAACGGUAGGUCAGUAUGCCCCGAAUGGGCUGGGCAACACGCGGGCUACAAUGGGCAGGACAAUGGGUUCCAACACCGAGAGGUGGAGGUAAUCUCAGAAACCUGCUCGUAGUUCGGAUUGCGGACUGAAACUCGUCCGCAUGAAGCUGGAUUCGGUAGUAAUCGCGUGUCAGCAGCGCGCGGUGAAUACGUCCCUGCUCCUUGCACACACCGCCCGUCAAAGCACCCGAGUGAGGUCCGGAUGAGGCCACAUUUCGUGGUCGAAUCUGGGCUUCGCAAGGGGGCUUAAGUCGUAACAAGGUAGCCGUAGGGGAAUCUGCGGCUGGAUCACCUCCUAACGU